CCUCACCUGCACGCCCCUCUCUUCUCCUUUCUUUUCUUUCUUUCCUCUUCUCCAUCUCACGCACUCUCCUCCUCCUUCUCCCCUAGUUUUUCACGCAGCCCAGCCCCCUCCCUUUCUUUCCCCCACGUUCUCAUCUCCCUCUCCCUUUCUUUUGCCCAGCCAAGCGACAACCCGAGAGAGAGAGAGAUGCUGAAUUUCAGAGAAGAAGAAGCAACCAGUUGAUGGGAAAAUUUAUGGGUUUCGGCCAUGGGCUUUUGUGGGGAUAGUGUCCGGAUUGGAGACUUGAAUUGAUUCUCCAAUGUAGAGUCCAAGUGACUAGAAUCCGAGGGGAUGUUCAAGUCAAGAGUCUAAUGCAGCCAGAUGAUGUCCUUUUGGCUGCAGGUACUCGGGUCGUAGUUGAUGGGGGGGUCGUAGACGUGCAUUUGGGAUAUUAUGACCGAAGCUUGCCGCGAUGGUCGUAAUUGCGGGACCAUGGGCGUCCUCAGUUUUAUAGGUUUUGUUGUGGCUUGUGACGCAUGUGUCACUCGUUAUUGUAUAAAGCCAUUCCGUUAUGUAUUUAUAUUGUGGAAAGACUUAAACACAUAGGUAUUAAAUGGCUCUUGUUGUUAUUAAUUUAUGAUAGAUGUUUAAGAUGUGAUUUCCGCUAUUGAGUUUAUGUUUUCCGCUGCAUAGUAGUUAGAUGUUGUACUCUGAUUUACCAGGUACAUAUUAUGGUGUAUGUACCAUAUGUUGGCUUUGCAACACAUCGUCGUGCCAAUGUGAGGAUCCAUUUGUAUUUUAAGAGAUUAACAUUUAUGAAAUGUUUUGUAUAAAAAAAAA